UGCAGGAGGCGGUCAGCACUCAAGAUUUGGAGCUCGUUCAACUGGCGCUGCGGUAUCGGGACUACCAGAGAGCCAUCAAACGCUUGGCCGGAAUCCCCGCCCUGUUAGAAAAACUACGGAAGGCUCAAGAUUUCUACGUAGAGAUGAAGUGGGAAUUCACCAGUUGGGUUCCCUUGGUCUCCAAGAUUUGCCCCAGCGACACGUACAAAGUGUGGAAGUGUGGCCAGAACCUGCGGGUGGACACCACGUUGUUGGGCUUCGACCACAUGACGUGGCAGCGUGGGAACCACAGCUUCAUCUUCCGGGGCC